rnacentral:rRNA from 1 species
UACAGAGGGUGCAAGCAUUAAUCGGAUUUAUUGGGCGUAAAGAGCGCGUAGGCGGGUCUUUAAGUCAGAUGUGAAAUCCCCAGGCUCAACCUGGGAACAGCAUUUGAAACUGAAGAUCUUGAGGGUAGUCGGAGAAAAUGGAAUUCCACGUGUAGCGGUGAAAUGCGUAGAUAUGUGGAAGAACACCGGUGGCGAAGGCGAUUUUCUAGAUUAUACCUGACGCUGAGGCGCGAAAGCAAGGGGGAUCAAAACAGG